CAAUGUGCUUUGCCUUGCAUUGGUCUGCUGCCUGCUGACAGAAUGCUCGGUGGCAGAGAUGACAAUUCCCUGCAGUGUGCUUGGGAGGCCUUACUGAGGUCACAACUGAGAAUACCAAAUUCAGGACAAACUGCUGAGAAAGAGGGCAGACACCCCCCAAAGCUGGUGGUUAUUUUCCGAGAUGAUAUACCAAACCAGCAACACAAGUAAACUUCUGUCUCACCACACUGGCUAACAAGAAGUCAGAACUGCAGCCUCCUUGGGUAGUCCAGUCCUGGAUUCAACACCCAGACACUCAUAAUGAUGAGUGGUUAUUUAAAACCAAUUUCAUCAGCCAAAGGAUUCUUCUGAUCCCAAAGGACCGGCCACAUACCCAGGCCAAUGAAUAACUCAGAUCUUGCCCAAUAAUCAUGCUGUUGCCAAUCCUUUAGUAUCUGUUAUCUAAAGAUUUAUUUAUAAAAAGAAAGAUGAGAGUUAAAAUUGGUUAAAGGCUCAAAUACACACAAUAAAUGCAACGUUCUUGGACAGGCUUGUAGCCGGGAUGGAAUAAACUGCUGGCUUGUUAAGUCUCUGGUUGCUUCCAAAGCAUUGGAAGGUCCUCAGUCCCUUAGUCAGAAUGCUCCCAAUAAUAUAAGUCCGUAGUCCAGAGGUCUGAGCAGGAAAAAGGCAAAACGGAGAUGUUUCCAGGGCCUUUUAUAGCUUCUGCCAAAUGAAGGGAAACCCAUUGUUCUAGUUUGUGGAAAAUUACAGGUAACAAGAUGGUGCUUGCACUCACAUGGGCAAGUCACAUGUCCACGCAUGCUUUGCUUAGUCAUAGUAGAGGCCAUUACCCUUACGCCAGUUCAGCAUUUCUCUCAUGUGGCCACUAGAGACUUUUCUUGUGGCCACAGUCUCCUGGUCAGGGGGG